rnacentral:rRNA from 1 species
GCGCAGCAGGCGAGAAACCUCCCCAAUGCCCGAAAGGGUGAGGGGGUCACCCCGAGUGCCACCCUCGUGGUGGCUUUUGCGGGGUCUAAAAAGCCCCGCGAAUAAGGGGAGGGCAAGACGGGUGUCAGCCGCCGCGGUAAUACCCGCUCCCCGAGUGGUGGGGACUAUUACUGGGCUUAAAGCGUCCGUAGCCGGCUGGGUGUGUCCCCCGUUAAAUCCACGGGCCUAACCCGUGGGCUGCGGGGGAUACUACCUGGCUUGGGGGUGGGAGAGGGCGGCGGUAUUCCCGGGGUAGGGGUAAAAUCCUCUGAUCCCCGGGGAGGACCACCAGUGGCGAAGGCGGCCGCCCAGAACACGCCCGACGGUGAGGGACGAAAGCUGGGGGAGCAAACGGGGAUUAGAUACCCGGGUAGU